rnacentral:rRNA from 1 species
ACUCAAAGGAAUAGACGGGAUCCCGCACAAGCAGUGGAGUAUGUGGUUUAAUUCGACGCAACGCGAAGAACCUUACCAGGACUUGACAUCCAAAGAACCCGGCGUAAUGGCUGGGGUGCCCUUCGGGGAGCUUUGAGACAGGUGGUGCAUGGUUGUCGUCAGCUCGUGUCGUGAGAUGUUGGGUUAAGUCCCGCAACGAGCGCAACCCUUACCUUUAGUUGCUACGAAAGAGCACUCUAGAGGGACUGCCGUUGACAAAACGGAGGAAGGUGGGGACGACGUCAAAUCAUCAUGCCCCUUACGUUCUGGGCUACACACGUACUACAAUGGCGCAAACAAAGGGAAGCUAAGCCGCGAGGUGGAGCAAACCCCCAAAAGGCGCCCCAGUUCGGAUUGGAGGCUGCAACCCGCCUCCAUGAAGUUGGAAUUGCUAGUAAUCGUAGGUCAGCAUACUACGGUGAAUACGUUCCCGGGAUUUGCACACACCGCCCGU